rnacentral:rRNA from 1 species
CUACGGGGGGCAGCAGUCGAGAAUCUUUCGCAAUGGACGCAAGUCUGACGAUGCGACGCCGCGUGAGCGAUGAAGGUCUUCGGAUCGUAAAGCUCUGUCAAGCGGGACGAACGUCCUGAAGGCUAAUAGCCUGAUGGGCUGACUGUGCUGCUAGAGGAAGCCACGGCUAACUCCGUGCCAGCAGCCACGGUAAUACGGAGGUGGCGAACGUUGUUCGGAUUCAUUGGGUGUAAAGGGUAUGUAGGUGGCCUUGUAAGUCGGAUGUGAAAUCCUUUGGCUUAACCAAAGAACUGCAUUCGAAACUGCUUGGCUUGAGUUUUGGAGAGGAGAGUGGAAUUCCCGGUGUAAGAGUGAAAUCUGUAGAUACCGGGAGGAACACCAGUGGCGAAAGCGACUCUCUGGCCAAAAACUGACACUGAAAUACGAAAGCUAGAGUAGCAAACAGGAUUAGAUACCCGUGUAGUC